rnacentral:rRNA from 1 species
GAUGAACGCUGGCGGCGUGCCUAAUACAUGCAAGUCGAACGAACGGACGAGAAGCUUGUGUCUCUGAUGUUAGCGGCGGACGUGUGAGUAACACGUGUAUAACCUACCUAUAUGACUGGGAUAACUACGGGAAACCGGAUCUAAUACCGGAGAAUAUUUUGAACCGCAUGGUUCAAAAGUGAAAGACGGUGUUGCUGUCUCUAAUAGCUGGAUCCGCGCUGCAUUAGCUAGUUGGUAAGGUAACGGCUUACCAAGGCAACGAUGCAUAGCCGAACUGAGAGGGUGAUCGGCCACACUGGAACUGAGACACGGUCCAGACUCCUACGGGAGGCAGCAGUAGGGAAUCGUCCGCAAUGGGCGAAAGCCUGACGGAGCAACGCCGCGUGAGUGAUGAAGGUCUUCGGAUCGUAAAACUCUGUUAUUAGGGAAGAACAUAUGUGUAAGUAACUGAGCACAUCUUGACGGUACCUAAUCAGAAAGCAACGGCUAACUACGUG